rnacentral:rRNA from 1 species
CUGGCUCAGGAUGAACGCUGGCGGCGCACAUAAGACAUGCAAGUCGAACGAACUUAAUUCAUCUUUAGAUUGGAAGCGGUUAGUGGCGGACUGGUGAGUAAUGUAUAAGUAACCUGCCUAUCAGAGGGGAAUAACAGUGAGAAAUCAUUGCUAAUACCGCAUAUGCUAACAGAUUCGCAUGAAUUAGUUAGGAAAGGAGCAAUCCGCUGAUAGAUGGACUUAUAUCUGAUUAGCCUGUUGGUGGGGCAACGGCCUACCAAAGCUACGAUCAGUAGCCGGACUGAGAGGUUGAACGGCCACAUUGGGACUGAGAUACGGCCCAGACUCCUACGGGAGGCAGCAGUCGGGAAUAUUGCGCAAUGGAGGAAACUCUGACGCAGUGACGCCGCGUAUAGGAAGAAGGUUUUCGGAUUGUAAACUAUUGUCGUUAGGGAAGAUACAAGACAGUACCUAAGGAGGAAGCCCCGGCUAACUAUGUGCCAGCCGCAGC